rnacentral:rRNA from 1 species
UUGAACGCUGGCGGCAGGCCUAACACAUGCAAGUCGCGCGGAUGAAGGGAGCUUGCUCCUGGAUUCAGCGGCGGACGGGUGAGUAAUGCCUAGGAAUCUGCCUGGUAGUGGGGGAUAACGUCCGGAAACGGGCGCUAAUACCGCAUACGUCCUGAGGGAGAAAGUGGGGGAUCUUCGGACCUCUCGCUAUCAGAUGAGCCUAGGUCGGAUUAGCUAGUUGGUGGGGUAAAGGCCUACCAAGGCGACGAUCCGUAACUGGUCUGAGAGGAUGAUCAGUCACACUGGAACUGAGACACGGUCCAGACUCCUACGGGAGGCAGCAGUGGGGAAUAUUGGACAAUGGGCGAAAGCCUGAUCCAGCCAUGCCGCGUGUGUGAAGAAGGUCUUCGGAUUGUAAAGCACUUUAAGUUGGGAGGAAGGGCAGUAAGUUAAUACCUUGCUGUUUUGACGUUACCAACAGAAUAAGCACCGGCUAACUUCGUG